CUGCUGGCUCAGCCUGGAGAGCGGCUUUCAUUGGAGCUUCCUGGGUCCAGUCUGUGCCAUAAUCCUGAUAAAUAUAACGUUCUUUGCCCUGACCCUGUGGAUCCUGAGAAACAGUCUCUCCUCCCUCAAUGCAGAUGUGUCCACCCUCAGAGACCACAGGUUACUGACCUUUAAAGCCAUCGCCCAGCUCUUCAUUCUGGGCUGCACAUGGAGCCUUGAUCUCCUCCUAAUCGGCCCAGCACCC